rnacentral:rRNA from 1 species
CCUACGGGAGGCAGCAGUAGGGAAUAUUGCUCAAUGGGGGAAACCCUGAAGCAGCAACGCCGCGUGGAGGAUGAAGGUUUUCGGAUUGUAAACUCCUUUUGUUAGAGAAGAUAAUGACGGUAUCUAACGAAUAAGCACCGGCUAACUCCGUGCCAGCAGCCGCGGUAAUACGGAGGGUGCAAGCGUUACUCGGAAUCACUGGGCGUAAAGAGCGCGUAGGCGGGAUAGCAAGUCAGAUGUGAAAUCCUCUGGCUUAACCAUAGAACUGCAUUUGAAACUGUUAUUCUAGAGUAUGGGAGAGGCAGGUGGAAUUCUUGGUGUAGGGGUAAAAUGCGUAGAUAUUAAGAGGAAUACUCAUGGCGAAGGCGACCUGCUGGAACAUAACUGACGCUGAUGCGCGAAAGCGUGGGGAGCAAACAGGAUUAGAUACCCGAGUAGUC